UCAUUCCUGACUCCUAUGUGCCUGCUCCAUCGGCGCCUAAUGAACCUCCACCUGAUUCGGCUGUGCCUAGUUCAACCGUUCCUGAUUCUGGUGUGCCUGGCUCUGCAGCGCCCGUCACCAGCGCGCCACUUUCUGGACAAGAAGCAGCACAGAGACCACCGGCUCCAGGCAGGCCCAACUGUCCUCCUGGUCUCGAAUACUUGGCACUCAUCGAACAGAUAGUGAUACAACAAAAAGUGGAGCUCCUCGAAGUGUUUUGUGGCAUUGAAACUUGCAACUCCUACGAAGCCAAGAAUUCAGUGGGUCAGCUUAUAUACAACAUUAAGGAAAAUUCCGGAUGCUGUGCCAGGUGCUGCUGCGGCCCACGGCGAUGCCUCGAGGUCGACGUGCUGGACUACACGAACACCACUGUGAUUCACAUUGUGCGACCCCUUC
rnacentral:lncRNA from 1 species